rnacentral:rRNA from 1 species
UACGUAGGGGGCUAGCGUUGUCCGGAUUUAUUGGGCGUAAAGAGCGUGUAGGCGGCCAGGUAGGUCUGGUGUGAAAACUCGAGGCUUAACCUCGAGAUGUCAUCGGAAACCAUCUGGCUGGAGUCCGGAAGAGGAGAGUGGAAUUCCUGGUGUAGCGGUGAAAUGCGCAGAUAUCAGGAAGAACACCAAUGGCGAAAGCAGCUCUCUGGGACGGUACUGACGCUGAGACGCGAAAGCGUGGGGAGCGAACAGG